rnacentral:rRNA from 1 species
UACAGAGGGUGCAAGCGUUAAUCGGAAUUACUGGGCGUAAAGCGCGCGUAGGCGGCUUCGCAAGUCGGAUGUGAAAUCCCCGGGCUUAACCCGGGAACUGCAUUCGAGACUGCGUUGCUAGAGUAUGGGAGAGGGAGGUGGAAUUUCAGGUGUAGCGGUGAAAUGCGUAGAUAUCGGGAGGAACACCAGUGGCGAAGGCGACUACCUGGCCUGUUCUUGACGCUGAGGCGCGAAAGCUAGGGGAGCAAACGGG